UUAAUUUAAGUUUUGUAAACAUUAAUCUUUGAUAUUAAAAAUACUAUUUAAUUUUAGUAAAUUAAA
rnacentral:tRNA from 1 species